rnacentral:rRNA from 1 species
GAUGAACGCUAGCGGCAGGCUUAACACAUGCAAGUCGAGGGGCAGCGAGGGUAGCAAUACCUGUCGGCGACCGGCGCAAGGGUGCGUAACGCGUGAGCAACAUGCCCGUAUCAGGGGGAUAAUCCAGGGAAACUUGGUCUAAUACCCCAUAGUAAUGUUUUCAGGCAUCUGGAGAUAUUUAAAGCUUUGGUGGAUACGGAUUGGCUCGCGUGACAUUAGUUAGAUGGUAGGGUAACGGCUUACCAUGACUAUGAUGUCUAGGGGUUCUGAGAGGAAGGUCCCCCACACUGGAACUGAGACACGGUCCAGACUCCUACGGGAGGCAGCAGUGAGGAAUAUUGGACAAUGGAUGGAAAUCUGAUCCAGCCAUGCCGCGUGCAGGAAGAAUGUCCUAUGGAUUGUAAACUGCUUUUGUAUGGGAGCAAUAAGGUCUUCGUGAAGGCCGAUGAGAGUACCAUACGAAUAAGCACCGGCUAACU